UGUGUGUGUGUGUGUAAUCACUCUAAAUGAUCAAGGAUAAUAUUUUUAUGACGAAAUUAACUGUGUAGUGUUUGGUAGACAUCAAGAUUUUGACACUAAAUAUAAACAAGUGUGAUGAAACAAGCCAUCAACGGACACCUCUUUGUAAUCGUUCAAACCGCUAGAAAUAGCAGUCAAAUCUCUCUCAACACCCAUGCUUAUAGUUUUAAGAAGGAACACGUUAGUUAUGGCAAUGCUGGGCUUCAUGCACACUGGGAAAAAACGGGAUGAUCACGACUGGAAUGUCUUUGAUUAUAGGUCUGCUCGAUCAAGAAUAAAAAGAGCAACAAAGAAAGAAGAGAGAAGCAGACAGCCGGAUAAGACUACGAUAUGUGACAACCAGCUGACAGGUCAAAUCAAAGGUUCGCAACCUGGCAUCGUCGCAGUGAUGCUGCUUGUAUCUAAGGCAUUUUAAUUAAGCCUGUAACUUAUCGAAAAUUGCAAUAGGAUUAUAAUUCACCACUGAAAACAGUGGGAACAAAGUUCUGUUCCUCUCAUAGAAGAAAAUCUAAAUGCAAUAUAUUUAGUAUCUUAGAUAGGAGGAGUGUUGCAGAGACUGGAAGGUACAGGUCAACUUGUCCGUGAAUCGGAAAACGAUUAGUUUUUAUAACGUUCUAUUUGCUUAGCAGACGUUAAGUUUUUCAGACACGAAACUGAAAAACUGCUGUCGGACCCAAGGAAAACGAAUCGCUUCGCCGAUUUUCUUACGAUCCCUCACGUUAUAAUUAACCCUAAUGAGAUUAGAGUAAAAAAAAAAAAAA